rnacentral:rRNA from 1 species
CAUGCAAGUCGAACGCUUUGUGGUUCAACUGAUUUGAAGAGCUUGCUCAGAUAUGACGAUGGACAUUGCAAAGAGUGGCGAACGGGUGAGUAACACGUGGGAAACCUACCUCUUAGCAGGGGAUAACAUUUGGAAACAGAUGCUAAUACCGUAUAACAAUGACAACCGCAUGGUUGUUAUUUAAAAGAUGGUUCUGCUAUCACUAAGAGAUGGUCCCGCGGUGCAUUAGCUAGUUGGUAAGGUAAUGGCUUACCAAGGCGAUGAUGCAUAGCCGAGUUGAGAGACUGAUCGGCCACAAUGGGACUGAGACACGGCCCAUACUCCUACGGGAGGCAGCAGUAGGGAAUCUUCCACAAUGGGCGAAAGCCUGAUGGAGCAACGCCGCGUGUGUGAUGAAGGGUUUCGGCUCGUAAAACACUGUUGUAAGAGAAGAAUGACAUUGAGAGUAACUGUUCAAUGUGUGACGGUAUCUUACCAGAAAGGAACGGCUAAAUACGUGCCAGCAGCCGCGGUAAUACGUAUGUUCCAAGCGUUAUCCGGAUUUAUUGGGCGUAAAGCGAGCGCAGACGGUUAUUUAAGUCUGAAGUGAAAGCCCUCAGCUCAACUGAGGAAUUGCUUUGGAAACUGGAUGACUUGAGUGCAGUAGAGGAAAGUGGAACUCCAUGUGUAGCGGUGAAAUGCGUAGAUAUAUGGAAGAACACCAGUGGCGAAGGCGGCUUUCUGGACUGUAACUGACGUUGAGGCUCGAAAGUGUGGGUAGCAAACAGGAUUAGAUACCCUGGUAGUCCACACCGUAAACGAUGAGUGCUAGGUGUUUGAGGGUUUCCGCCCUUAAGUGCCGCAGCUAACGCAUUAAGCACUCCGCCUGGGGAGUACGACCGCAAGGUUGAAACUCAAAGGAAUUGACGGGGACCCGCACAAGCGGUGGAGCAUGUGGUUUAAUUCGAAGCAACGCGAAGAACCUUACCAGGUCUUGACAUCCCUUGACAACUCCAGAGAUGGAGUGUUCCCUUCGGGGACAAGGUGACAGGUGGUGCAUGGUUGUCGUCAGCUCGUGUCGUGAGAUGUUGGGUUAAGUCCCGCAACGAGCGCAACCCUUAUUACUAGUUGCCAGCAUUCAGUUGGGCACUCUAGUGAGACUGCCGGUGACAAACCGGAGGAAGGUGGGGAUGACGUCAAAUCAUCAUGCCCCUUAUGACCUGGGCUACACACGUGCUACAAUGGCGUAUACAACGAGUUGCCAACCCGCGAGGGUGAGCUAAUCUCUUAAAGUACGUCUCAGUUCGGAUUGUAGGCUGCAACUCGCCUACAUGAAGUCGGAAUCGCUAGUAAUCGCGGAUCAGCACGCCGCGGUGAAUACGUUCCCGGGUCUUGUACACACCGCCCGUCACACCAUGAGAGUUUGUAACACCCAAAGCCGGUGGGGUAACCUUCGGGAGCCAGCC